AUUGAACGCUGGCGGCAUGCCUUACACAUGCAAGUCGAACGGUAACAGGUCUUCGGAUGCUGACGAGUGGCGAACGGAUGAGUAAUGCAUCGGAACGUGCCCAGUAGUGGGGGAUAGCCCGGCGAAAGCCGGAUUAAUACCGCAUACGACCUGAGGGUGAAAGGGGGGGAUCGCAAGACCUCUCGCUAUUGGAGCGGCCGAUGUCAGAUUAGCGAGUUGGUGGGGUAAAGGCGUACCAAGGCAACGAUCUGUAGUUGGUCUGAGAGGACGAACAGCCACACUGGGACUGAGGCACGGCCCAGACUCCUACGGGAGGCAGCAGUGGGGAAUUUUGGACAAUGGGCGCAAGCCUGAUCCAGCAAUGCCGCGUGCAGGAAGAAGGCCUUCGGGUUGUAAACUGCUUUUGUCAGGGAAGAAAUCUUCUGGGUUAAUACCUCGGGAGGAUGACGGUACCUGAAGAAUAAGCACCGGCUAACUACGUGCCAGCAGCCGCUGUAAAAC
rnacentral:rRNA from 1 species